rnacentral:rRNA from 1 species
UUAGAUCUUGGUCAGGAUGAACGCUAGCGGCAGGCUUAACACAUGCAAGUCGAGGGGCAUCGGGAGUAGCAAUACUUGCCGGCGACCGGCGCAAGGGUGCGUAACGCGUGAGCAACAUGCCCGUAUCAGGGGGAUAAUCCAUGGAAACGUGGUCUAAUACCCCAUAGUAAUUAUGUAAGGCAUCUUAUAUAAUUUAAAGCUUUGGUGGAUACGGAUUGGCUCGCGUGACAUUAGCUAGAUGGUAAGGUAACGGCUUACCAUGGCUACGAUGUCUAGGGGUUCUGAGAGGAAGGUCCCCCACACUGGAACUGAGACACGGUCCAGACUCCUACGGGAGGCAGCAGUGAGGAAUAUUGGACAAUGGAUGGAAAUCUGAUCCAGCCAUGCCGCGUGCAAGGAAGACGGCCCUAUGGGUUGUAAACUGCUUUUGUAUGGGAGCAAUAAGGGCUACGCGUAGUCCGAUGAGAGUACCAUACGAAUAAGCACCGGCUAACUCCGUGCCAGCCGCCGC